AAUUAGCUUCAGGGCUGGGUGAGAUUCCCGACCGGCGGUAGGCCAGAGAAAAUCCGGCGAGCCCGCGACCUCUGCACCUUUAUGGUACAGGGCUGAUCCGGUGAGAUUCCGGGGCCGACAGUAAACCAUGUACCACUCAAAAGUUCGGGUGCACGGAUAAGUCUGGAUGGAAGAAGGUUUUU
rnacentral:ncRNA from 2 species